rfam:Myotis davidii contig194293, whole genome shotgun sequence.
GCUGGUGUGGCUCUAUAGUUAGAGCAUUGUCAGGCAACUGAAGGGUCAUGGGUUCAAUUCCCAUUCAAGAGCA